GCCCGGUUGGCUCAGAUGGUAGAGCAUCAGACUUUUAAUCUGAGGGUCAUGGGUUCGAGCCCCAUAUCGGGCG
rfam:Nematostella vectensis strain CH2 x CH6 NEMVEscaffold_231_Cont19842, whole genome shotgun sequence.